rnacentral:rRNA from 1 species
GAGGAAUCUUCCACAAUGGGCGAAAGCCUGAUGGAGCAACGCCGCGUGCAGGAUGAAGGCCUUCGGGUUGUAAACUGCUUUUAUUUGUGAAGAAUAUGACGGUAACAAAUGAAUAAGGGUCGGCUAACUACGUGCCAGCAGCCGCGGUCAUACGUAGGACCCAAGCGUUAUCCGGAGUGACUGGGCGUAAAGAGUUGCGUAGGUGGUUAUAUAAGUGAAUAGUGAAAGCCGGCGGCUCAACCGUACGGACUAUUAUUCAAACUGUAUAACUCGAGAAUGGUAGAGGUUACUGGAAUUUCUUGUGUAGGAGUGAAAUCCGUAGAUAUAAGAAGGAACACCAAUGGCGUAGGCAGGUAACUGGACCAUUUCUGACACUGAGGCACGAAAGCGUGGGGAGCGAAC